CUCUUUCUUUGGGGAGGUAGGAUCCGUUCCCGUCUCUUGCAGAGGUGCUCUGCCCCAGAUCCCUGCCUUUUGGCUUGUCUGCACCCUGGGGGUCCUCCACCAUUGGGAUUGCAGAAAAGGACAUAUUUGGGGACGACCAGCACCCCACCAGGGCAGUUUUCUAUUCAGGAGGGGAUAAGCCACCUGAGAAAAUAAAAGUCUGAAAUAAUGAAGAAUUAAGAGAGCUAGAAAAUAGGGUUUAAGGGAGCAUCGCUAUGGCUAAACAUAGUUGCACAUACCAACCUCAAGACUCUGGGGUCACUAGACCCAAUACAUGAUUACUUGCCUCCUUGAGGGCAUGACAAAAAAUUCUCAUACCCAGGUUAAUUACGACAAGAUCAGAGAAAUCACCCAAGUCCCUGAUAAAAAUCCUGCCCUCUUUUUGGCUUAACUUACUGAGGCUACCAGAUAUACCAGCCUGGACCCCAAUACUCCCAUCGGUACUCUCUUUCUCCAUAUCUAAUUUAUGGGCAGUUCUGCACCUCAUAUCCCUAAAAAAACUUAGUUUGAAAAGGGUCCCGAGACUCCCUCAGCAGCAACUUCUAUAUGUUGCUUUCAAAGUCUUUAACAAAUCAGGAAGACAAGGCCAAAAAGGAGAAUGAAAACAUCCCAAAGCUAAAUAUCAACUUCUGGCCUCAGCCAUCCAUAACCCUAAAAAAGCACCUGCUCAUGGCCCCACCAAACCCUCUAAUACACCUCCCAGAGCAUAUUUCUGAUGUGGGCAGACAGAACAUUGGGCAAAAGCUUGCCCUUACCUGAGGCCCCCACUAACCCCUGUCCCAACUGUGGACAAUGGGGACACUAGAGGAUGGGCUGUCCCCAGGGAAGGACACCGGUCCCCUUGGUACAACCUGCUUCCCAAGUCCCAUAGACUGAAUUACCAAAUGAGGGGGCCCAGACUCCACUGCCCCUAUCACCUAAGGUGAUACAUCCAAGGAAUCCCCACUUACAGAGAUGGUGAACGGCCAGGUAAUUUCUUUUUUGGUCGACACUGGGACAAGUCUUUCCCUUCUGACACAAUGGCACGGACCUACUUCCAAAGCAAAUAUCCCUAUUACAGGAGUCUCUGGAGUCCCUGUAUAGCCACUGAAGUCACCUUCCCUCUUCUGCAUGUUGGGAUCCCUCACACUAUCCCAGUCUUUUUUCGUCAUGACACAUUGUCCCAUCCCCCUAUUGGGCUGAGAUCUCCUCCAUAAAUUAAAAGCUUCCAUCAUCAUUCCUCCUUUAAGGUCUACUAUCAUUUUAAAAAAUACAUUCCAGCCUGGACCUGAUCUCUCUCCCCCUUAAGCCUCCUGAUCAUUCCUUACUCACUGUUGUGGGGCAGGUCACUCAGAAAACAUACCAAGUCCCAAUUUUGUCCAAAUUGAAGAGUCUUUAUUUAGCAGGCCAGCUGGCGACUGCUCCCCACAGGACCUAUAACUGUCUCUUCAAGGAACAGCCCCAAGCCUGAGCAUUUUAGGAUAUUUAAAGAAAAAAACCACACCUGGGUUGACAUAGCUGCAAGCAAGCAGGUACAGAAGUUGAAUUGGGCAGUUAGUGAGACAAUGCAAUAGGUGCAUUGGUAUUUCCCACGGGACUUUCCAGGUUGGCAUAGCAGCAAGCAAGCAGGGGGGAAGAGGGUCAAAAUGACUCUAGUUCAGUACACAUUAAGGAAUGGUUACUAACAUCUAGAUAAUUGAUCUCUGACAAGGUACAUUGCCCAAGAAAAAUGGAAAGCAAAGAGAACUAUUUUACAUUGUAUAAAAAUUGCUAUUUUGUGUUGCCAAGUAAGUUAUGCUAGGUAAUUAUUAAUGGGUACAGAGGUGGGGCUUUUCCACAGGAGAAGCAUUUCUUACAUGACAUAGAGGCUCAGGGUAAAAUGGAGUCUGUUUGGUCAUUGCCCAUAUAGCCUGGCCCAUAACACUCAGUAGGAUUGACUCCACAGUCUGGGACACCUCUCAACCCAACAUUGCUAAACCCCAUCCUCUUAUUCAAAUCCAACUAAAAGACCCUACUUCUUGACCAUGUCCUGCACAGACGAGAUAAACUGGGUUUAAAUGGGCUGGCUACAACAUAAAGCUAAGAAGGGGGUGGUGAAAAAAAUCACACAACACAGAAAAUAGUAUCCAAAAAAUGGGGCAAGGACGGCUCUCCUUCGACCUUAUACAAGAGAGAGAGAGCUUGAGCCAUGUUUCCUUUAUUUAUACAAAAAGGAUAUCCUUUUUAUCUUUUAUUUAUUUAUUUAUUUUUAAAUAUUUAUUUUUAAGCUUUAGGCGGAUACAAUAUCUUUAUUCUACAUUUAUGUGGUGCUGAGGAUCGAACCUGGUGCCUUAUGCAUGCUAGGCGAGCACUCCACUACUGAGCCACAACCCCAGCCCUAUUUUUUAUUUUUUGACAAGGUCUCAGUAAGUUGUUUAGGGCCUCACGGAGUUACUGAGGUUGGCCUCAAACUUUCAAUCCUGCUUCAGCCUCCUGAGUAGCUUGUAAUUACAGGUGUGUGCCAUCUUGCCCAGUUCCAGCUAGAUACAAUAGGCAAAAUAACACCAAUAUCAUGAAUAAUAAUACAAUGUAGCAUAAUAAUGAGAAAGGAUGCAUUUGGGGUAUUACCUUUGGAUCUUUUUUAACAUGUGUAUUUAACUAUAUCUGACAUGCCAUAACAUUCACCCACUUAAAAUAUAAAACUCAAUAUUUGCCUGACAUGGUGGUGUAUGCCUGUAACCCCAGCUACUUGGGAGAGUGAGGCAGGAGGAUUAUGAGUUUGUAAAAUAAAGUAGCUGGGUUGUAGUUCUGUGGCAGAGCACUUGUCUAACAUGCACCACAUCCUGGGUCCCAACCCCAAUAUUGUAAAAAACAAAACCAAAAAUCUUGAAUGGUUACAGUAUGUUCAUAGUUGUUCAAUCAUCAACACCUCAAUUUUAAAAUAUCGGCAUCAUCUCAGAAAGCAAUCCUACACUGUAAAAUGUAGCAAUUGCUCCCUCUUCCCUCUAAGUGCCUGUGGGGAGCCACUUUGAAUGACCAUGCCUUCCAGUCCUGAUGCAUUCAUUGUGGCUUGGCAUUGACCCGCUUGGAUAGCAAGAUAGUCUUCUUUGUGGGCUUACCCCUAGGGUUGAGUUACACUCACCUGUUCCCUUGAAAUUCUACCCCUUCUGCCUUCUAUGGAUAGAACUUUCUAAGAACAGUGUCCAGUGUCCCCCCAAUAGAAGCUGACUUCCAAACGUGCUCUCUCUAUCAUCAGCCUUUCUCUUGCUCUCCCUUUUGGGGAGCCUGAGGCCAAGAGACAGGGAAUCCAUCCUGAAGCUUAUGUAAAGGUAAAUUGUGUCUGUGUUUUAUUUUGCAUUCCUACAAAUUCACCUUAGUGACCUUAGUUCAACUGCUUGCGCUGGUUGAGGGCAGCAAGUGGCCUCCUUCUCAGCUCUAGGCAACCACAGAUCACUUUUGUUGUGAUUCACAGAUUUACCCUUUAUGGACUUUUCACAGAAAUGGCAUCUUAGAACGUGGUCUAUUGCAACUUGAUUUCUGCAUAUUGUUUCAUAGUUUACCCAUGUUGUAGCAUGUAUCUAGUCUUCCUGAUUUUGUUGUCUUCUCACCCUUGUUGAAAAUCAUAAUGUCAGGGAUUGUUUCUGGACAUUCAGUUUUAUUCUAUUGAUCAAUAAAUCUAUCCUUAUGCAGUACCAUACAGUAUUGGUCACUACAUUACUUCAUGCCUUCCUAAGAAGGCAAUAAUGCCAAACAAUAUUCUGUUGUAUAGACAUACCCUAUUUUACUUAUCCAAACAUUAGCAGAUGGACAUUGGAGUGUGUUCUAUUUUUUGGCUAUUAUGAAUAAUGCUGUGGACAUUCAUGUAAAAGUUUCAUGUGAAUAUAUGUUUUCAUUUCCUUGGCUAUAGAACACUUGGGAUGGAAUUUCUGGGUCAUAUGCUAACUCUAUGUUUUAUUUCUUUAGGAACUGCCAGAGUUUUCCAAAGUGACCAUACCAUUUUAUAAUCUACCAGCAAUAGAUGAGGGUUCCAGUUUGUCCAUAUCCCCACCAACACUUGUUACUCAGUUUUUAAGACGUAUACUCAUCUUUGUAUGAGUUUAUCAGGAUGAACCCAACUACUAUGUAUAAUCAUAAAGGUCUAAUAAAAAUUAAUUAAUUAAAAAUAUAUUCAUUCUAGUGGGAUUGAAGUAGUAUCUCAUGAUGGUUUUGAUUUGUGUUUCCCUGGUUAAUGAUAUUGAGCAACUUUUCAAAUGCUUACCAACC
rnacentral:lncRNA from 1 species